rnacentral:rRNA from 1 species
CGCGUAGGUGGCCCGGUCAGUCAGUGGUGAAAGCGCGGGGCUCAACUCCGCGUCGGCCAUUGAUACUGCUGGGCUGGAGCACUGUAGAGGCAGGCGGAAUUCCGGGUGUAGCGGUGGAAUGCGUAGAGAUCCGGAAGAACACCGGUGGCGAAGGCGGCCUGCUGGGCAGUUGCUGACACUGAGGCGCGACAGCGGUGGGGAGCAAACA